rnacentral:rRNA from 1 species
AUUGAACGCUGGCGGCAUGCCUUACACAUGCAAGUCGAACGGCAGCACGGGAGCAAUCCUGGUGGCGAGUGGCGAACGGGUGAGUAAUACAUCGGAACGUGCCCAAUCGUGGGGGAUAACGCAGCGAAAGCUGUGCUAAUACCGCAUACGAUCUACGGAUGAAAGCAGGGGAUCGCAAGACCUUGCGCGAAUGGAGCGGCCGAUGGCAGAUUAGGUAGUUGGUGAGGUAAAGGCUCACCAAGCCGUCGAUCUGUAGCUGGUCUGAGAGGACGACCAGCCACACUGGGACUGAGACACGGCCCAGACUCCUACGGGAGGCAGCAGUGGGGAAUUUUGGACAAUGGGCGAAAGCCUGAUCCAGCCAUGCCGCGUGCAGGAUGAAGGCCUUCGGGUUGUAAACUGCUUUUGUACGGAACGAAACGGCCUUUUCUAAUAAAGAGGGCUAAUGACGGUACCGUAAGAAUAAGCACCGGCUAACUACAUGCCAGCAGCCGCGGUAAUACGUAGGGUGCAAGCGUUAAUCGGAAUUACUGGGGCGUAAAGCGUGCGCAGGCGGUUAUGUAAGACAGUUGUGAAAUCCCCGGGCUCAACCUGGGAACUGCAUCUGUGACUGCAUAGCUAGAGUACGGUAGAGGGGGAUGGAAUUCCGCGUGUAGCAGUGAAAUGCGUAGAUAUGCGGAGGAACACCGAUGGCGAAGGCAAUCCCCUGGACCUGUACUGACGCUCAUGCACGAAAGCGUGGGGAGCAAACAGG